GAUGAACGCUGGCGGCGUGCCUAAUACAUGCAAGUAGAACGCUGAAGCUUGGUGCUUGCACCGAGCGGAUGAGUUGCGAACGGGUGAGUAACGCGUAGGUAACCUGCCUGGUAGCGGGGGAUAACUAUUGGAAACGAUAGCUAAUACCGCAUAACAGUCGACAUUGCAUGAUGUUGAUUUAAAAGGGGCAAAUGCUCCACUACCAGAUGGACCUGCGUUGUAUUAGCUAGUUGGUGAGGUAACGGCUCACCAAGGCGACGAUACAUAGCCGACCUGAGAGGGUGAUCGGCCACACUGGGACUGAGACACGGCCCAGACUCCUACGGGAGGCAGCAGUAGGGAAUCUUCGGCAAUGGACGGAAGUCUGACCGAGCAACGCCGCGUGAGUGAAGAAGGUUUUCGGAUCGUAAGCUCUGUUGUAAGAGAAGAACGAGUGUGAGAGUGGAAAGUUCACACU
rnacentral:rRNA from 1 species